rnacentral:rRNA from 1 species
UACGGAGGGUGCUAGCGUUGUUCGGAAUCACUGGGCGUAAAGGGCGCGUAGGCGGCCUGUUAAGUUAGACGUGAAAUCCCUCGGCUCAACCGGGGAACUGCGUCUGAUACUGGCGGGCUUGAAUUCGGGAGAGGGAUGUGGAAUUCCAGGUGUAGCGGUGAAAUGCGCAGAUAUCAGGAGGAACACCAGCGGCGAAGGCGGCGCUCUGGGCCGGAACUGACGCUGAGGAGCGAAAGCGUGGGUAGCAAACAGG